rnacentral:lncRNA from 1 species
GGAUCAAAAUCUCACCUAUCAACCGGAAUUCUCCAAAAUAUUAACUUUGCCAAUUCAAGCCAAAUCCUUCCACGGACUUCCAAAAUGCAUUUCGAUCGCGCUCCUAAGUCAUAAAUCACCCAAUGAAGCUAUCCAAAUCAUAAAAUUUCCGAUCCGAGCUCAUAUACAAAUAAGUCAACUCUUAGUCAAACCUUUCAAAUUCAAAGCUUUUAACUGAGACUGUUCCUUCAAAUUCAUUCCGUUUUUUCCUGAAAACCAAAACCAACGAUCUACAUCAGUCAUAAUACGUUACACGGGGCAAGUCAUGCCACGGAACUGGCGAUCAAAGUGCAAAAGUUCAAAACAACCGGUCGGGUCGUUACAUCCUCCCCCACUUAAACACACGUUCGUCCUCGAACGUGCCCAUAGUUGUUCUAGAAGCCAACCAAUUUCUGAAUAACUUUACCAUGCAUAUACCCGGGGGGUGAUCCCACGUUACCCUACCUUAUAUAGGUUCGAUAACACAAUAUAACUGAAAUUUCACAAUCCAUCCUAGUCCAUAAACUAUAGAACCACAUUUCUGUUUCUAAAAUCCUCAAUACGAUCAGAACCUCACACCUAUACUUUGAAUAGACCCGAACUAGCUGUAGUAACUCAUGCCUGCAACCUCAAGUGCAGUUAUCCGAUAUACCACGUAACUCAAACACAUAUAGCGAUAACUUCCAUUCACAGCAGCUGCACACAACACCUGAAUACCGGUAGAAACCUCUUAUCAAUUAAAGUCUCAUUCCAACACAUCUAUAUACUGACAAUGAUAAAUGAAACACACAAUAAAUCAUAACCAUCUCUCAGACCAGUCAUCCAUAAGGUUACUUCUCCUUUGGCAAGGACCAUAGCAAAUUUCUGAACCGAACCUCGAUAUUUACCCAUCAAACAUGCUGAAAUCGAAUCUGUUUGUAUUUAUUAAUGAUCCCCAACGAUCUCCUCUAAUCCAACACAUUACUCCGGUGACAUGACACAUCCAUACAUACCUAAGCCACAACUUGCACAAUACACGCAUCAAUACGCAACAAUUCGAGCAUACUCAAAUCACGAAAAUGACUCAAAUGAAAGAGCUGAACCUCAAGUUCAUUAGUACCACCACAAUACAAGACUGAGAACCCGUCUCACAUCAUAGGAACAGAACACACGAAUCUAACCUGCAAGGUCAUACCUCCACAUAUAUUCACUACAAUGCGCGACCUUAUUUAAAGACUGCUCCACAUGGAACUACCUUAAGUCAAUAUGCUCGAAAUCGACAACCACGCACAAUUUGAUAUUUGGAACCAAAGCAAUUCAUCAUACUCACGAUGAAGCAAAUAACAUACACCACGCAUACCCGAUAGGACAUGACCGAUACGCCGUUCACCGAGCAACACCAAAUUACUAUUCCUGCUCGACUUCCAUUAUGAAACUCCGAUAGAACCGCACCAUAGGUGCCUAUAACCAAUAGAUCGUAUCAUCUCACAACCUCUAAUACCCAAUCAUUCCACUAUAGAUACUCUAAAAUUUCCUUGUGCCACCAAGCAAACCCGAAUAUCACCAGUCGAUCUAAAAAGAAGGUGCCGCAAUACUACCGAAGUGUUAUCAACUUAAUAACAUUGCCCUUUUACUAAAACAUAGACUCUCGUCAAAUCAUUUCCAAUUAGUGAGAACACUUACCCCGUUGUUUUCUCUAAAAAUCUCUCGAAAAUUGCCUCUCCCCGAGCUCCAAUUUGGUAAAAAUGAAAAAUGGGCUCCCAUUUUCCAGAACUUAACAUUCUGUCCGGUAUUGUUCAUACUGUUCACGACUGUUCAUGGGGUACUAUCCGGUAAAAAUUGCAGCAACUUUUCUUUUCAAUAAAAAGACUCUAACUCCAUCAUACGAACUCGGAAUUCGAUGAUUCUUGUUCCUAUGAGUCACAAAUAAUAAUACAAACAUAUCCCUUCAGUAGAAACUCAAUUCGGAGCUCAUUUGCUCAGUUCAAUACUCAUUUCGCUCGUUAAACAAUUAACUCAUGUUUCGUGUCAAAAACCCAAUCACGACUUGAUGAAAUUAGACCAAACUUUCCAUAUCAGUCCUAUAAUUCAUUAUCAAAAUUCUGAAAGUCUCGAAGUCAAAUUUCGAUCUCUAGAACUAAAAAUGGAUCUUUGGAUCGUUACAUGCUUAUGCUCAAAACGGCAAAAUCUUCCAAAAACUCUUCCAAAACUUAUCCGAGACUCAUGGGACCCCGAGCAAACAUGCCAACACACCCCAUAACAUAAUUCAAACUUGUUCCAACCUUCUAAAUGCUCAAAACAAUAUCAAAACAUCAAAUCGCCCUCGGAUUCAAGCCUAAGAAUUCCAAAACAUCCGAAAUCUGAAUUCGAUCAAAAGGUCGACCAAACGACGUCCAAAUGACCUGAAAUUUUGCACACACAUCAAAAAAUGACAUAACAAAGCUAUAACAACUCUCAAAAUGCCAUUCCGACCCUCGGAUCAAAAUCUCACAUAUCAACCGAAAUUCGCCAAAUUAUUAACUUUGUCAAUUCAAGCCAAAUCCUUCCACGGACUUCCAAAAUGUAUUUUGAUCGCGCUCCUAAGUCAUAAAUCAUCCAACGAAGCUAUCCAAAUCAUAAAAUUUCUGAUCCGAGCUCAUAUACAAAUAAGUCAACUCUUAGUCAAACCUUUCAAAUUCAAAGCUUUUAACUGAGACUGUUCCUUCAAAUUCAUUCCGAUUUUUCCUGAAAACCAAAACCAACGAUCUACAUCAAUCA